GGAACUGGUAGCUCAGUGGUUAAGCUGUUGGACUUCUGCUCGGAAGGUCACGAGUUCAAGUCCCGGCACUGCCA